CCUACGGGAGGCAGCAGUGGGGAAUUUUGGACAAUGGGCGAAAGCCUGAUCCAGCAAUGCCGCGUGAGUGAAGAAGGCCUUCGGGUUGUAAAGCUCUUUUGUCAGGGAAGAAACGGUGAGGGCUAAUAUCCCUUGCUAAUGACGGUACCUGAAGAAUAAGCACCGGCUAACUACGUGCCAGCAGCCGCGGUAAUACGUAGGGUGCAAGCGUUAAUCGGAAUUACUGGGCGUAAAGCGUGCGCAGGCGGUUUUGUAAGUCUGUCGUGAAAUCCCCGGGCUCAACCUGGGAAUUGCGAUGGAGACUGCAAGGCUAGAAUCUGGCAGAGGGGGGUAGAAUUCCACGUGUAGCAGUGAAAUGCGUAGAGAUGUGGAGGAACACCGAUGGCGAAGGCAGCCCCCUGGGUCAAGAUUGACGCUCAUGCACGAAAGCGUGGGGAGCAAACAGGAUUAGAUACCCUGGUAGUCCACGCCCUAAACGGAUGUCUACUAGUUGUUCGGUUUUAAUUACGUUGGUAACGCAGACUACGCGUGAGUAGACGCCGNGGAGGUACGGUCGCGAGAAGUUAAACGUUAAAGUAAGUAGAGGCGNGAGACGUAGACGACGACGACGACGAGGGAGAGG
rnacentral:rRNA from 1 species